UACGUAGGGUGCAAGCGUUAAUCGGAAUUACUGGGCGUAAAGCGUGCGCAGGCGGUUAUGUAAGACAGAUGUGAAAUCCCCGGGCUCAACCUGGGAACUGCAUUUGUGACUGCAAGGCUAGAGUACGGCAGAGGGGGAUGGAAUUCCGCGUGUAGCAGUGAAAUGCGUAGAUAUGCGGAGGAACACCAAUGGCGAAGGCAAUCCCCUGGGCCUGUACUGACGCUCAUGCACGAAAGCGUGGGGAGCAAACAGG
rnacentral:rRNA from 1 species